rnacentral:misc_RNA from 1 species
GAUGAAGAACGCAGCGAAAUGCGAUAAGUAAUGUGAAUUGCAGAAUUCAGUGAAUCAUCGAAUCUUUGAACGCACAUUGCGCCCGCCAGUAUUCUGGCGGGCAUGCCUGUUCGAGCGUCAUUUCAACCAUCAAGCCCCAGGCUUGUGUUGGGGACCUGCGGCUGCCGCAGGCCCUGAAAACCAGUGGCGGGCUCGCUGUCACACCGGGCGUAGUAGAUUUUAUCUCGCUCUGGGCGUGCUGCGGGUUCCGGCCGUUAAAAAACCCUUUUAACCCAAGGUUGACCUCGAAUCAGGUAGGAAUACCCGCUGAACUUAAGCAUAUCAAUAAGCGGAGGA